AUUGAACGCUGGCGGCGGGCCUAAUACAUGCAAGUCGAACGGAAACAGGAAGAACUUGCCUCUUUGGCGUACGAGGGGGGGACGGGGGGGAAAUGUCGGGAAACUUGCUGUAUGAAGGGGGUAACUUACGGGAACCGGAACUAAUUACGGCUAAUUUUCUCAAGCCCAAGGAGGGGGACUUUCGGGCCUCUUGCCAUCGGAUUUUCCCAGAUGGGAUUAGCUAGUAGGUGGGGUAACGGCUCACCUAGGCGACGAUCCCUAGCUGUUCUGAGAGGAUGACCAGCCACACUGGAACUGAGACACGGUCCAGACUCCUACGGGAGGCAGCAGUGGGGAAUAUUGCACAAUGGGCGCAAGCCUGAUGCAGCUAUGCCGCGUGUAUGAAGAAGGCCUUCGGGUUGUAAAGUACUUUCAGCGGGGAGGAAGGAAGUAAAGUUAAUACCUUUGCUCAUUGACGUUACCCGCAGAAGAAGCACCGGCUAACUCCGUG
rnacentral:rRNA from 1 species